GACGAACGCUGGCGGCGUGCUUAACACAUGCAAGUCGUACGGUAAGGCCCUUUCGGGGGUACACGAGUGGCGAACGGGUGCGUAACACGUGAGUAACCUGCCCACAACUUUGGGAUAACGCUAGGAAACUGGGGCUAAUACUGGAUAUGUGCCCCUGCUGCAUGGUGGGGGUUGGAAAGCUCCGGGGGCUGUGGAUGGACUCGCGGCCUAUCAGCGUGUUGGUGGGGUAGUGGCCUACCAAGGCGGCGACGGGUAGCCGGACUGUGAGGGUGACCGGCCACAUUGGGACCGAGGUAAGGCCCAGGCUCCGAAGGGGGGCAGCAGGGGGGAAUAUUGAUCAAGGGGUGCCAGCCUGGUGCAGCAACGCCGCGUGCGGGAUGACGGCCUUCGGGUUGUAGAACGCUUUCAGCAGAGACGAAGCUUUUUGUGGCGGUACCUGAAGAAGAAGCACCGGCUAACUACGUG
rnacentral:rRNA from 1 species